rnacentral:ncRNA from 1 species
AUAAAGUUUUAUUCUUACUUAAGGAUUGACGUUAAAUUUGUUUUACAUGUAAAUUUUAGUGUAAUCAGGAAUUGGGGUUAAAUAGACUAUUUCCUUAAUGGUAUAGCCUAAACUACGUUAUUGCAGUAUUUAGUUUUAUAAAUUAAAGGGGUUUAGAUUUAGUAAAUUUAUUAGUAUCGGCAAAAAUCGUGCCAGCCGCCGCGGUUACACGGAGGGUACAAGUUAAUAAUUAUAAGUUAUUCGGUUAAAUUGGGUUAUAGUAUAAGAGGGAGGGGUAUUAUUAGGAGUUUUUAGGUGAAAUUUUAAUUUCUAGAAUAUUUCUUUCGUGUUUAUGGAUAUUGAGGCCGAGAGAUUUAGAUUUUAAACUAGGAUUAGAUACCCUAUUAUUUUAAAUGUAAAACAUUAGGAUACUUGAGUAGUAAUAGUUAUGUCCUUGAAACUCAAAGAAUUUGGCGGUGUUCUAGUCCUUUCAGAGGAACCUGCCCCUUAAUCGAUAUUCCACGCUUGAUCUUACUUAAUUUUGUUUAUCAGUUUGUAUACCGCCGUCGUCGGAAUGUCCUAGAAGGGGAAGCAUUUUCUUAAAUUUUAAAGUGAAAUAGAUGUCAGGUCAAGGUGCAGCUAAUAAUUAAGUGGAGGUGGGUUACAUUAAAUUUAUUUAUACGGAUAUUAAUCUGAAAGAAUAAAGAUUGGUUGAAGGUGGAUUUGAUGGUAAUAAUUGAGAGAAAGAAGUUUUGAUUUUUGGCUCUAGAGCAUGCACAUAUCGCCCGUCGCUCUCGUUAUUUAAGGCGAGAUAAGUCGUAACAUAGUAGAUGUACCGGAAGGUGUAUCUGGAAAGUU